rnacentral:rRNA from 1 species
CACGUAGGCGGUCCAGCAAGUUGGGUGUGAAAGCCCGGGGCUCAACCCCGGAUGUGCACUCAAAACUGCUGGACUUGAGUUCCAGAGGGGGUCGGAGAAUUCCCGGUGUAGAGGUGAAAUUCGUAGAUAUCGGGAGGAAUACCAGUGGCGAAGGCGCCGACCUGGAGGGAAACUGACGCUGAGGUGCGAUAGCGUGGGGAGCGAACA